AUUGCAGAAGGAUCCUGGUGUCCGCGCGUCAUUCUUGCCGGCGAGACGUUAGGCGCGCGACAUCUGACAAGCCUGAGAGCUGCAGAAGAGAGAACAUAACAAUCAUAUGGGAACCAGGCCAUGUCAGUGACAGAGUUUGCUGAGGUGAGAAAGCUGAAAACAGCACCACCCUACUGAAGUUCCACAACAAAUCAUAUUUGGUAAUUCAGUGGCACAUCACAGGAGGAUUUCCCUACAACCAGGAGAGAAAAAAUUUAAAACACAAUAGAAAGAGCACUGCUGUGCUACUUUGGGAUGAAAACAAACAACAUAGCUGUGGUCAGAUGGGAAGCUUAGCAUGCUACCAUUGAUGGUGUCUGGGGAAAGAAGGUAGCAUUGCAUGGUGGCAGAAGGAUGUCUCUGUAAGGCUCCAUCCUGAGUCUCAGUGAUCCUCUCAUGGAAGAUGGAAAGAUCAGGCUACAUGCAGCACCCCAACAUUUCAGAAGCGACUGCUCCUUGUGGAUAUUAAAAAUACAUGAAGUAUGUAGCCUGUAACCCUCUCACCCUGUGAACUUGCUGGCGGCAUUUCCUCGGUGGAGAUCCAGGGCUGUAACAGAAGAGAGCAUUGGUAGACAUGCAUCCGUCUUUCCCUCUCUCCUCUUCACCAUGGAUGGAACUGGUUCCUUCACUUUUUUGCCUUUAGUUUUUUUUCUAUAAUAAAUGAUAACCUUAAUCAUGAGUUGAAAUAAACCCACCCUGCAGCAAAAUAA